rnacentral:rRNA from 1 species
UACGUAGGUGGCAAGCGUUACCCGGAAUUAUUGGGCGUAAAGGGCGCGUAGGCGGUGCGGUAAGUCUGUAGUGAAAUCUCUGGGCUCAACUCAGAGUCUGCUGCAGAAACUGCCGUGCUUGAGUGUGGGAGAGGUGAGUGGAAUUCCCGGUGUAGCGGUGAAAUGCGUAGAUAUCGGUAGGAACACCAGUGGCGCAGGCGGUCUCCUGGGGUCUCCUUGACGCUGAGGCGCGAAAGCUGGGGGAGCGAACGGG